UCUGUCGAAUCGUGUGUUUUACCCUGUCUUUUAAAAACCUGGUCCUGUCUUCCUUCAUCCUAUAGGGACCCCCUGGAACUCCCUCAAGAACCCCUGGGUGUUCCUGGAUCCCUGGUUGAGUGACAUAUAGUAACUGGGCUCUGUGUCUGGAAGCUAGGCUUCACCAUUACUGUCAAGUGUAGGAAGUUAACACAAGAGGACACUACAGUACAGCAUUAAGUAGAUCAGGAGAAGGAGCAUGGUUUUAAAGGUGGAUUCUACUGAUCGACACUGGCAGGACAAACAUAUGCACCAAAAAAAGGAAAAGAAGAAGACUGCUAGCAAGGACGCAUAGGGGAGUACAGAAGCCAUAUUUACCAAGUGAGAAAGUAAGAAGUAGAAGCAAAUGAGAGACUGCAUUCCUUAAAUUUCUAAAUGGAUGAUCAACAUGUCAGCAUGACUGGCCGUACUAGGGUAUUGUUUUCUGUGCUCGUGCCCUGAAUAGCACAGCCACGCUUCUUGUAGCAGUGGACAUCAUGGGCUGUGUGUGGUGGCUGGUCAAGCCAUGAGACACACAACACAGACAACACCAAUAGUGGGCAAUUUCAGCUCAAGACGGAACUAAACUGGUUCAUCUUCUUUCACACAUUUUUCCUGAGAAAAAUAUUUAUAUAUAAAAUAAUAAUAUAAAAAUAAAGACCUUUAAGAACUAU